GGAGCUGACCCCAUUCCCUAUUCAUUAAAGCCAGGGCUCAGCCUCGAAGCCACAAGUGAAAGUUAGGAGGAACCCACCCCAUUAGCAUGGUCUGCUCGCCCGGACUCCGCUCCCCUCCCUCCCCGUUUUCUGGCUCCUUGGAAGCUGAGGCUCCAUUGCUGUUUGUUUACUAUCUAUGCUUGGUGUUUUGUACUCAAGUUGUGUAAUGCCUGGGAAUGUGCUCUGUUUUAUUUAGCUAAGUUUUGAGAUAUGGGCAAUUUUUAUUUAACCAAUCUGAGCCAGCAUGGAUGGGUUUGAAAUUAAUCCACAAGAUCAAUCAAGGAGCUCAGCACAUGAGGUGCUGCUGGGAAAUACACACAUGUAGGAACGGUCCCUGCCCUAGAGCUAGGGAUAAAAGACGCAAACCCAAUCAACCAAUGGCCAUGAAAGAUUACAACCCUUCAACACCAGAAGAUUAGUUUAAAAGUCUAGGGGAUGCCUGACAACAUGUUUAACAAAAGCCACAAUAUGAGAGGGGUUUAGGGACUAAAUUCAAACCACAGUGGUAAGUGUUAUGAAAGAAAUAUCACUGGAGGAAUUUAGAAGUGGGCAGGCAAUGAGAGUCAGAGGGGUCACCGACUGCUUCAGAGAAGACGUAGAAUCUGGUGGCCCUUUGGACUAGUUGGGAGAGUCUUUCAGGUAAGGCAAGAGCAUGAAGAAAGGGGACAGUAUGUCCUGCCCUGGACAUGAGACUGACGGUUGGACGGCUGCUCUGGGACAUGUGGAAACACGGAGAGGAGGAUGGAAGGACUGGCACAUGAGACUUGGAGACAUUCUGCAAUCAGAAAGCGGAGGUCAAGGAUCUUGGAUUCCCUGAGUGCAGGUGAGAAGAGAGCCUGGAACAGGAACCUCUCUGGACUCUGCCUCUGCAGUGCCGGAAUGGCCAAGUCUCAUCACUUGGGGAAGCAUCAAGAAGCCCCUCCUCUCUGAUGUUUUUCUAUCCUGUUAGAUGCAUCAGUUCAGCUGUAGUCAUGUAUGGAUGUGAAAGGUGGGCCAUAAAGAAGGCUGAGCACCAAAGAACUGAUGCUUUCAAACUGUGGUGCUGGAGAAAACUCUUGAGAGUCCCCUGGACUACAAAGAGAUCAAACCAGUCAAUCCUAAAGGAAAUCAACCCUGAAUAUUCAUUGGAAGGACUGAUGCUGAAGCUCCAAUACUUUGGCCACCUGAUGUGAAGACCGACCCCACUGGUUUCAGCCUACACCAUUAUGUGAACUCGUGGUUAUAUGAGAUCAAGAUUUUCGGAACACAAACUGACAGAAGAAACAAUAUUGGGACAAUUUGUUGGAUGACGAGCUAUAAGCCAUAGAAAAAUUCUUAGAAACUCUAGUUUCAAUGUUGCCUUGAAAAUUUUAACAAAACUCAAAAUAAUAGAUUGCCUCUAUGAAUGUACCACACAAUUUCUAACUUAAAUAGAAAUUCAUAGUAAAUUCAGUGGGGAACGAGGGUAAGAGAGGUAAUACUAUUUUACAAUUUUUGAAAAACUGAGUAUCAAAAUCUCAUUUUAUACAUAUACACAAUGGAAUAUUGCUGCUGCUACUGCUGCUAAGUCACGGCAGUCGUGUCCGACUCUGUGCGACCCCACAGAUGGCAGCCCACCAGGCUCCCCCGUCCCUGGGAUCCUCCAGGCAAGAACACUGGAGUGGGGUGCCAUUUCCUUUUCCAAUGCAUGAAAGUGAAAAGUGAAAGGGAAGUUGCUCAGUCGUGUCCAAUCCUCAGCGACCCCAUGGACUGCAGCCUUCCAGGCUCCUCCAUCCAUGGGAUUUUCCAGGCAAGAGUACUGGAGUGGGGUGCCAUUGCUUUCUCCGACAAUGGAAUAUUACUCAGCCAUAAAAAGGAAUGCAUUUGAGUCAUUUCUAAUGAGGUGGAUGAACCCAGAGCCUAUUAUACAGAGUGAUGUAAGUCAUAAAGAGAAAAAUAAAUAUACUAACACACAUAUAUGGAAUCUAGAAAGAUGGUGCUGAAGAAUUUAUCUGCAGGGCAGCAAUGGAGAAACAGACACAGAGAACAGACCUAUGGACACAGGGAGAGGGGAGGAGAGGGUGAGAUGUAUGGAGAGAGUAACAUGGAGACAUACAUUAUCAUAUGUAAAACAGAUAGCCAACGGGAAUUUGCUGUACGUCUCAGGAAACUCAAACAGGGCUCUGUAUCAACCUAGAGAGGUGAGAUGGAAGGGAGGUUCAAGACGGAGGGGAUACAUGUAUACCUAUGGCUGAUUCAUGUGGCUGUUUGAUAGAAAACAACACAAUUCUGUAAAGCAAUUAUCAUUCAAUUAAAAAAUAAAUUGGGCUUCCCUGGUGGCUCAGCUGGUAAAGAAUCCGCCUGCAAUGUGGGAGACCUGGGUUCUAUCCCUGGGUUGGGAAGAUCCUCUGGACAAGGGAAAGGCUGGAGAUCUCCAGUCCCUGGAGAAUUCCAUGGACUGAAUAGUCCAUGGGGUCGCAAAGAGUCAGACAUGACUGAGCAACUUUCACUUAAAAAAUAAAUUAAUUAAAAAAAAAAAAAAAGAAUCUCAUUUCAUUAAAAUAUCCAUCACUGGGCACGGAUAUAUUCAAUAUACAUUUGGCUUUGAAAUCUUUUAAUUUAGCAAUUCCACCUCUGGGAAUUUAUAUACAGAAAUGUUGGAACAAGUGCUGGAGAGUAUUUACAGUGGCUAAAAUCAGAAGCAACUAAUUACUCAUCAGCAGACAGUGUGUUAAAGAAAUAAAGUCAAUUCAUGCAAAAGAAGACUAGGUAGCUGUUAGAAAGGAAAGGACUAUGUUAUGUCCCACAUGGAAUUAUUCUCACAUAAUACUGUUAAGUUAUUCCACUUUUCUAACAAACAAACUAAUAUAUUACAUGUAAAGAAAAGAAGUCUAGGGGGAUUUAAUAUACAUACCGAACAGUGACCACCUCUGAGGAGGGAGUAAGUAUGGGGAAAAUUUUCACUGUGUUCUUUUUUUGUUGUUCAGUUGCUAAGUCGUGUCCAACUUUUUGCAACCCCAUGGACAGCAGCUGUCCUUUUUAUGUAUUGCUUGGGGCUUCCCUGAUGGCUCAGCUGGUAAACGAUCCACCUGCAAUGCAGGAGAACUGCGCUCUAUCCCUGGGUGGGGAAGAUCCCCUGGAGAAGGAAAUGGCAACCCACUUCAAUAUUCUUGCCUGGGAAAUCCCAUGGACAGAAGACCCUCGAAGGCUUUAGUCCAUGGUGUCCCAAAGAGUCGGACACACCUGAGUGACUAGCACUUAAAUGUUUUACAAUAAGGAUAGUUUUUAUAGUUUACAUAUAAAUACAUACAUGUGUAUAUAAAAGUAAUCUUAAAGUUUUACUUUUAAAAAAAAAUUUUUUUUGGCCACACCAUUCAGCAGGUGGGAUCCCAGUUCCCUGACCAGGGAUCCAACCCGUGUCCCUGCAUUGGAAGCACAGAGUCCCAACCACUGGACCCCCAGGGAAAUCCUCAAUCUGAAAGUUUUAAAGUACACUUUUAUAGAAAACAAAAAAGGAAAUGUGUUUGCUACUCUGCUUGAACUGGUCUGACAGCCCUCCUGAUAAGAUACGCAAGCUCUUACCAUCCUGCCCUCCUCUCCUGCUGAAGCGAAGCAUGGAUCCUCGGGUUCCCCAAUACAAUACAGAUCCUCUUCCCUAAGCUUGCUGCAAGGCUGACUCACCCCUUCCUUCUCUAAGGCUCGGGGAGGGGGGAGUGUUGGGAGGGAACCAUAACUUGACUGUUAGUAGUUCAGCCAGUUGGAAAACGGGGUCUCAGACUCAUCCCUCUUUCAGCUGACCGCAGGCCAAGGAUGAAUGUGUCAAAGGGAAGCCAAUUCUGGCCUCCCGUUGGCAAAGGGCUUAACUUCUAGGCAAACUUAGCUGGGAUUAAUUUUUGCCCAUAUCGGACAAUGAUUUUAACACAAGGGUCAGGAUGGUCUGAUUCUGGCUUCCCUUCUUUUGGGGCUAAAUGUAGAGAACUGAGUCAAAGGACUGAGUCACUCAGUCACUCCAGUUCCAGCACUGACUCGCCUCCCAUCAUUAAAGGGACAGUUGUGUCUGAGUUCCUCAGCUGGGAGGCCAGUGUAGGGGUUUCAAAGAACCCAGGUGCCUGUGGCAGCUGUCUGGUUCUGGUGGAGGAAGAAGGGACCACGCCUGGGACACAGGAGACUGGGUAUGACACAGGCCCAAGAAGGGGUCUCUGUCACUCUCGAGUAACUGUCAGACAUUCCAUGGACCCUCAGGAAGCAAAAUAAAGGGGGCAGGUUCCAGAGAGCGUGGGGGAGGCUGAGUCACCUUUGCCCACAGCCAAAGCAGCAACUGCUUGCAAGCUAUACUUGAGGGUUUUGGGGAAAGCCAUUGAGCCUCAAAAUACUACUCCUAUUAUCCUAUGAUAGCUACUGAAAUUCAGCUCUUAGAGAUUUUUUCCUUUUGACUGAGACUUUAUGCAUGUUAAAUGGCAAGCUACUUCUCCCAGCUUCUUUCCAAUCUAGAAGACAGAGGUCGGAGAACAUAUAUACUUGAAUAUCAGGAGGGAAAUAGAAAGAAUCCACAGCUUAGAGGCUCAGAAAUCAAGACAGACAGAACUAUAUGGGUCCCAGGCAGAGAGAGAAAGGUACCAAAGAUUUUCAGUUUUGGCUAAGGUGAAGCACUGCAUCCGAUAGUAUUAGACCAAGCAGACCUAACUGUAGAAGGCCUGUGAUUAUGCUUUUAGACUUACUGUUAAAAACUACUUUAUACACAUAUACAUACUAGCUUCUUACCUGUAUCUGUUCAAGGUGGCUUUAGAUCUUGAUGGUGAAGGCUGACUAGCCAGCUGAUUUCAUUGUAAGCAACAGGCUUCCAAAUUUUAAAUUCUACAAGGUCUUUGUUUUUGGAAUCUGCGAUUUCAGUCCCCUCUGGUGACGAGCCCUCUAGGUGAUGGCUAAAAGCAACCUCGCUCAACUGUGGAAGUACCUUAAAAUCACCUGGGACCUUUUAAAAAUACUGAUACCCAGGGCCUGUUCUUAGAAAUUCUGAUUGACUUGGUCUGGAGCGGGGCCUGGGCAUCAGUUGUUUAAAAUAAACGCCUCCCCUCAGCACUUAAACGUGUAUUCUAAGGUGUACCCUGAGUUUAAAAUGCUAAGAAUUGUGAUGGGAGGGCAGAUGGGGUAGAUUAUCAUUACCGCGUCGUUAAAUUACCUACUCAACUUAAGACUUCUACAGUGGGCAAGCAGUGCUUUAAACUUUGGAGGGCACGUUAAGAAUGCACUGACAUAGAUUCUGCAGCUUCACCCUUCUGCAGAAACCAAUAGGAAGGGCCUGGCCAGAUGAGCGGCGGAGUGCAGAACCACCCAGCUCACACCCCCUGUUCCUCUGCAACAUUCCUUACGUUGCAGUGAACAGUUUUCCUGCCCUCCCUGACCUCAGCAGAGUAGAGCUCUGGUGUCUUGAGCCCCACCCUUUCCCCCACCCCUAGGAGAAGCCUUAACAUUAGGUCGGAGGGCACAAAGGCCUGGACAACUGGGAGAACCGGACUUACCCAGCUAAACGGGAUCCUCAGAUGCUCCUUUCACUGUUUCUCUUUGGUCAGGAUUUCCGAAGCCAAUCUUCACAACACUCUGCCUUACCAGGUUCCUUUUCCAGACCAGUCUCAGCCCACCUGCCUAUGGGCUAUACCAGGAUUUUCCUGCUUCCCCCUUCAUGGCUGGGCACUGGGAUGCUGUGCUCGCUACAUUCAUCAGAGUAGGUAUCAUCUCUUCCUCCAUUGGAGUGCCCAUGGCUCCUCCAUAGGAUUCCCUGGGCCCGCACUGCCCUAUGUCGCCACUGCCCACAGGCCUGAGCUAGCUGCAUUCGGCACCCCACAGAAAUCCAGUAUGUCCUCAAGUCAUAACAGGAAGAUGGUAUAGG
ensembl:lncRNA